rnacentral:rRNA from 1 species
GAUGAACGCUGGCGGCGUGCCUAAUACAUGCAAGUCGAACGCACAGCGAAAGGUGCUUGCACCUUUCAAGUGAGUGGCGAACGGGUGAGUAACACGUGGACAACCUGCCUCAAGGCUGGGGAUAACAUUUGGAAACAGAUGCUAAUACCGAAUAAAACUUAGUGUCGCAUGAUACGAAGAUAAUAGGCGCUUCGGCGUCACCUAGAGAUGGAUCCGCGGUGCAUUAGUCAGUUGGUGGGGUAAAGGCCUACCAAGACGAUGAUGCAUAGCCGAGUUGAGAGACUGAUCGGCCACAUUGGGACUGAGACACGGCCCAAACUCCUACGGGAGGCUGCAGUAGGGAAUCUUCCACAAUGGGCGAAAGCCUGAUGGAGCAACGCCGCGUGUGUGAUGAAGGCUUUCGGGUCGUAAAGCACUGUUGUAUGGGAAGAACAGCUAGAAUAGGAAAUGAUUUUAGUUUGACGGUACCAUACCAGAAAGGGACGGCUAAAUACGUGCCAGCCGCCGCCGUAA